CGCGUAGGCGGCAAGGCAAGUCAGAUGUGAAAUCCCCGGGCUCAACCUGGGAAUUGCAUCUGAAACUGCAGUGCUUGAGUCCUAGAGGGGAUAGUGGAAUUCCCAGUGUAGCGGUGAAAUGCGUAGAUAUUGGGAGGAACACCUGCGGCGAAGGCGGCUAUCUGGACAGUGACUGACGCUGAUGCGCGAAAGCCAGGGGAGCGAACG
rnacentral:rRNA from 1 species